rnacentral:rRNA from 1 species
GACGAAGGAUCCAAGCGUUAUCCGGAUUCAUUGGGUUUAAAGGGAGCGUAGGCGGGUUUAUAAGUCAGUGGUGAAAGCCGAUCGCUUAACGAUCGAACUGCCAUUGAUACUGUAGACCUAGAGUACAGAUGAUGUUGGCGGAAUAUGACAUGUAGCGGUGAAAUGCAUAGAUAUGUCAUAGAACACCGAUUGCGAAGGCAGCUGACAAAACUGUAACUGACGCUGAGGCUCGAAAGUGCGGGGAUCAAACAGGAUUAGAAACCCCGGUAGU